AAACCAUGAUGAGGGCACUCGUUUGUAUAUCUUCUAAUUUUUUUCCAUUCUUCCCUAAAGGUGUCAUUGUUGUGUUGAGUAAAGCUUGAUAUUAGAUUCCUCAACUU
rfam:Eutrema salsugineum unplaced genomic scaffold scaffold_6, whole genome shotgun sequence.